UGGGGAAUUUUGCACAAUGGGGGAAACCCUGAUGCAGCGACGCCGCGUGAUUUAGAAGGCCUUCGGGUUGUAAAAAUCUUUUGUAUGGGAAGAAAAUGACAGUACCAUACGAAUAAGGACCGGCUAAUUACGUGCCAGCAGCCGCGGUAAUACGUAAGGUCCGAGCGUUGUCCGGAAUCAUUGGGCGUAAAGGGUACGUAGGCGGAUAAGCAAGUUAGAAGUGAAAUCCUAUAGCUCAACUAUAGUAAGCUUUUAAAACUGCUCAUCUUGAGGUAUGGAAGGGAAAGUGGAAUUCCUAGUGUAGCGGUGAAAUGCGCAGAUAUUAGGAGGAAUACCGGUGGCGAAGGCGACUUUCUGGCCAUAUACUGACGCUGAAGUGCGAAAGCUAGGGGAGCAAACAGG
rnacentral:rRNA from 1 species